rnacentral:rRNA from 1 species
GCAGCCGCGGUAAUUCCAGCUCCAAUAGCGUAUAUUAAAGUUGUUGCAGUUAAAAAGCUCGUAGUUGAAUUUCGGGAUCAAGGGAUCGGUCAUGCCUUGGUAUGUACUGGUCUUAUUGGUUCUCACCUUCUAAAGAACCAUAAUGUCAUUCAUUUGAUGUUAUGGGGAAUUAGGACUGUUACCUUGAAAAAAUUAGAGUGUUUAAAGCAGGCUUACGCUUGAAUACAUUAGCAUGGAAUAAUGAAAUAGGACGUUUGAUUCUAUUUUGUUGGUUUCUAGGAUCGACGUAAUGAUUAACAGGGAUAGUUGGGGGCAUUAGUAUUCAAUUGUCAGAGGUGAAAUUCUUGGAUUUAUUGAAGACUAACUACUGCGAAAGCAUUUGCCAAGGAUGUUUUCAUUAAUCAAGAACGAAAGUUAGGGGAUCGAAGACGAUCAGAUACCGUCGUAGUCUUAACCAUAAACUAUGCCGACUAGGGAUCGGAUGAUGCUUAUUUUUUAAUGACUCAU